rnacentral:rRNA from 1 species
UGCAGUCGAGCGGAACGAGUUAUCUGAACCUUCGGGGAACGAUAACGGCGUCGAGCGGCGGACGGGUGAGUAAUGCCUAGGAAAUUGCCCUGAUGUGGGGGAUAACCAUUGGAAACGAUGGCUAAUACCGCAUGAUGCCUACGGGCCAAAGAGGGGGACCUUCGGGCCUCUCGCGUCAGGAUAUGCCUAGGUGGGAUUAGCUAGUUGGUGAGGUAAGGGCUCACCAAGGCGACGAUCCCUAGCUGGUCUGAGAGGAUGAUCAGCCACACUGGAACUGAGACACGGUCCAGACUCCUACGGGAGGCAGCAGUGGGGAAUAUUGCACAAUGGGCGCAAGCCUGAUGCAGCCAUGCCGCGUGUGUGAAGAAGGCCUUCGGGUUGUAAAGCACUUUCAGUCGUGAGGAAGGCGGUG